GACGAACGCUGGCGGCGUGCUUAACACAUGCAAGUCGAACGGAAAGGCCCUGCUUGCAGGGUACUCGAGUGGCGAACGGGUGAGUAACACGUGGGUGAUCUGCCCUGCACUUCGGGAUAAGCCUGGGAAACUGGGUCUAAUACCGGAUAGGAGCCAUUUUUAGUGUGAUGGUUGGAAAGUUUUUUCGGUGUAGGAUGAGCUCGCGGCCUAUCAGCUUGUUGGUGGGGUAAUGGCCUACCAAGGCGGCGACGGGUAGCCGGCCUGAGAGGGUGGACGGCCACAUUGGGACUGAGAUACGGCCCAGACGCCUACGGGAGGCAGCAGUGGGGAAUAUUGCACAAUGGGCGCAAGCCGGAUGCAGCGACGCCGCGUGGGGGAUGACGGCCUUCGGGUUGUAAACUCCUUUCGCUAGGGACGAAGCUUUUUGUGACGGUACCUAGAUAAGAAGCACCGGCUAACUACGUG
rnacentral:rRNA from 1 species